ACUACACUGUAAGUUUCUGAAAUUGUGGAAUCUAUAAUUAGAAUCACUGAGAUGGUAUGUGAAGUCUGAUAUGUGAGCCAUCGGUUGUUACUAAACUAUAUACCUAUAGACAAGAAUUGCUUAAAAAUCUAGGUCUCGUCCUGACAGUUCCACUCUUUACAUGAAGAUCGAAUACAUUAGUGUUUUCAGUGAUCCGUUAUCAUCCCUAGAAUUGAAUCACUUAGUAGUCUUUAACAGUGCAAUUAUUUCGGCUUUCCGCUCUGAGAGACCAGGGAUCGAGUCUCGGGUCCCACCCAUUGAAAUAUUUGUCAUGAGAUCCGGGUCCGAUCCGUCGAUUCCAAUCCUCCACAAUCCGGCUAACCCCUCCGUA
rnacentral:lncRNA from 1 species